UCCUGUCUGUGAGGAAGUUGAAGAUCCAGCUGCAGAUCUGAGUGCUAAGACCCAGGUUCUGGAGCUUAGGAAUCAGUUUAUUUGGAAUGAUGGUAUUAAAGGCAGAGCUGUAGUCGAUGAAAAUGAGCCUUACAUAUGUGUCUUUAUUCUCCAGGUGUUCUAAGGAGGAAUGUAGUGCCAGAGAGAUGGCAUCUGCCGUUGACCUGUUGCUCCGGUAGGCGAAUUGCAAAGCAUCGAGGUUGACCGGACCGUGUCAGUAUGAAGAGAUUAUUGAAAGAUCAUGAUUAUUGCAUCCAUUAUCUCCUCAGGGACCUCUCUCAAAACUCUGGGAUGUAGUCCAUCUGGUCCAGGUCCCCAGAAGGGUACAGGUCCCCUUCUCCAGAAGAGGUCCCAAUGAUCCAGAAAUCUGAAUCCCUGCCCCCUGCUCCAACUCUUCAGCCAUGCAUUUAUCUGCCAUCUCAUUCUAUUCCUGUCCUCACUGUUGUGUGGCACAGGCAGCAAUCCUGAGAUUACCAGAACUAUUGAAUUUACUUUAUUUCUUACAUCCUAUACAAACACGAGGAGUAAAAAUCUUUACGUUAUGUCUUCAUCUAAAUGUGCAAUGUGCAAUCUUAGUAAAUUAUAAUAAAUAGAACAGUAAAUGUAACAUCAAAAUACACUCAAAUCAGCGUGAGUUAAUCAGUCUGAUGGCCUGAUGGAAGAAGCUGUCCUGGAGCCUGUUGGUCCUGGCUUUUAUGCUGUGGUACCGUUUCCCGGAUGGUAGCAGCUGGAAUAGACCAUGGUUGGGGUGACUUGGGUCUCCAAUGAUCCUUCUGGCCCUUUUUUCCCACACCGUCUUUGUAAAUAUCCUGAAUCAUGGGAACUAAGGGACAUAGUCUCAAGAUUCGAGGGAGUAGUUUUAGGGCGGAGAUGAGGAGGAAUAACUUUUCCCAAAGAGUAGUGAAUCUGUGGAAUUCUCUGCCCAAUGAAGCAGUGGAGGCUUCCUCAGUAAAUAUAUUUAAGACAAGGUUGGAUAGAUUUUUGCAUAGUAGGGGAAUUAAGGGUUAUGGGGAAAAGACAGGUAGGUGAAGGUGAGUCCUUAUUCAGUGGCAGAGCAGGCUCGACGGGCCAGAUGGCCUACUCCUGCUCCUAUUUCUUAUAUUCUUAUUACUACCCUUGAGGUCCUGCUUCUCAGCUUCCUUCCUAACUGCCUGGAUUCUGUUUUCAGGACCUCCUCCCCUUUUCUGAGAGGGAUGGCCACAGAGGCGCUCACCACUAUCUAACAUUCUCCCUUCCCUCUCCUGACAGUCACACACUUAUCUGUCUACUGUGGCCACAAUGUGGCUACCUGCCUGUAACUCUAUCAAUCACCUCCUCACUUUCCCUAACAAGCUGAAGGUCAGCGAGCUGCAGCUCCAGUUCCCUAACUAACACAGUCUCCAAGGAGCUGCAUCUCGAUGCGUCUUUGCAGACGUGACCAUCAGAGGGGCUGGAUGUCUCCUGGAAAUCCCACAUUUGACACACAGUAGAGAACACUGGCUCUGCAGACAUACCCUCUAUUCUCUCAAGAGUUAAUUCAGAAAAAAAGUUAAAUAAGAAAUAAGGAAUGAACUUACCUACUUCCCUUGCCUCUGCCUGUUCUCACCAAAGCCUUAUUGAGUCAAAACCCUCCUAUUCUAACUCAGACUACUCCCAAUAUGACUGCUUUGCUAGGCAGUACCCCUCUUAUAGAGACAGGCUUUUCAAAGCUCUUCACCAGAGCUGUGCAGGAAUGCUUCUGUUGUGUCUGCGCAUUUCUCCAAUCAACGACUCUCAUUGAAAAACUUCCUCCCUUUUAUGCCAGGGACCAAUAGCAUUAAGCUAUUGGUCAUGGAUACUAGGUUAAGAACCCUUGCCCUAAACUAAUCUCUGGAACAUUACUGACACUUCCCUCCCUUUUCUCAACCUCUCUGUCUCUAUUGCUGGAGACAGCUUAUCUACUGAUGUCUUUUAUAAACCCACUGACUCUCACACUUACCUGGGACUAUACCUCCUCUCAUCCUGCUACUUGUAAAAAUGCCAUCCCCUUCUCUCAAUUCCUCUGUCUCCACUGCAAGAGCUCUCAGAAUAAGGCUUUUCAUUCCAGAACUAAGGAAAUGUCCUCCUCCUUCAAAGAAAGGUGCUUCCCUUCCUCCACCAUCAACUCUGCCCUCAACUGCAUCUCUUCCACUUCACGUUUUCCUUCACCCCAUCAGUGAUAGGGUUCCGCUUGUCCUCACCUACCACCCCAUCAGGCUCCGCGUGCAGCACAGAAUUCUCUGUAAUUUCUGCCACUUUCAUCGGGAUCCCAUCACCAAGCACAUCUUUCUCUCCGUGCCCAAUUUCUGGUUUCCUCGUGGAUCGCUCCCUACACACCUCCCUUGUCCAUUUGUCCCUCUCUACUGUCUCCCUCCUGGCACUUAUCCUUGCAUGCGGAACAAGUGCUACACCUGUCCCUACACCUCUUCUCUCAUUACCAUUCAGAGCCCAAAACAAUGCUUCCAGCUGAGGUGUCACUUCACCUGUGAGUAUCCAGCACUCCGGUGUGGCCUCCUGUAUAUUGGUGUAGAUUGGGAUACUGCUUCACCGAAAACCUACGCUCCAUUGGCCAAAAAAAGUGGGAUCUCCCAGUCGCCACCCAUUUUAUUCCAGUUUCCAUUCCAACAUGUCAGUCCAUGGCCUCCUCUACUGCUGCGAUGAAGACACACUCAAGUUGGAGGGGGGGACAGUUUAUAUUCCAUCUGGGUAGCCACCAAUCCGAUGGCAUGAACAUCGAAUUUUCAUACUUCUGGUAAUGGCCCCCCCCCAGCAUUCCCCAUUCCCCUCUCUCACUUUACCUCCUUAUCUGCCCAACACCUCCCUCUGGUGCUCCUCCCCCUUCCCUUUCUUUCAUGGCCUUCUGUCCUCUCCUGUCAGAUUCCCCUUCUCCAGCCCUGUAUCUCGUUCCCAGCUCUUUCCUUCACCCUCCCCCCCUCCUGGUUUCACCUAUCACCUACUUCCUUGUCCCUCUUCCUCCCCUCUCCCCCCCACCUACUUACUCUGACUUCUCAUCUCUUUUCUCCAGUCCUGAUGAAGGGUCUUGGCCCAAAACAUCGAUUGCUCACUCUUUUCCGUAGAUGCUGCCUGGCCUGCUGAGUUCCUCCAGUAUUUUGUGUGUGUUGCUCUGGAACUCAGCCAUGUUGUUCAUGUUUAGAACCCGACUUUUACAUAGAAAAAUAAACUUAUUAAGUUGUCCAGGUCAAAACAAGUUAUCAGUAAAUUUAAGGAUCACUUAUUAUCACCUUUGGCAAUAUAUUCCAUAUUUUUGUUGAAUGAGCAUCAUUUUAGUGUGGUGGUGUGAACUACAUAAACCUGUCUGGACACGCCCCCUGCUGACUGCUCCUGUGGCCCCUCCCACUGACUGUGGCUCCUCCCACAGACAAUAGACAAUAGGUGCCGAAGUAGACCAUUCGGCCCCUCGAGUCUGCACCGCCAUUCUGAGAUCAUGGCUGAUCAUUCACCAUCAAUACCCAGUACCUGCCUUGUCCCCAUAUCCCUUGAUUCCCCUAUCCAUCAGA